rnacentral:rRNA from 1 species
AAUAGAUACCCUGGUAGUCCACGCCGUAAACGAUGAGUGCUAAGUGUUAGAGGGUUUCCGCCCUUUAGUGCUGCAGCUAACGCAUUAAGCACUCCGCCUGGGGAGUACGGCCGCAAGGCUGAAACUCAAAGGAAUUGACGGGGGCCCGCACAAGCGGUGGAGCAUGUGGUUUAAUUCGAAGCAACGCGAAGAACCUUACCAGGUCUUGACAUCCUCUGCCAACCCUAGAGAUAGGGCGUUCCCCUUCGGGGGACAGAGUGACAGGUGGUGCAUGGUUGUCGUCAGCUCGUGUCGUGAGAUGUUGGGUUAAGUCCCGCAACGAGCGCAACCCUUGAUCUUAGUUGCCAGCAUUCAGUUGGGCACGUCUAAGGUGACUGCCGGUGACAAACCGGAGAAGGUGGGGAUGACGUCAAAUCAUCAUGCCCCUUAUGACCUGGGCUACACACGUGCUACAAUGGAUGGUACAAAGAGCUGCGAACCCGCGAGGGUAAGCCAAUCUCAUAAAGCCAUUCUCAGUUCGGAUUGU